AAAGUUUCCAUUUAAAGGAGCUGAACGUUUCCAGCUGUAACAUCUUUAAAUCCUACAUCACAUACAAUUAGCCCAAUCAUCAUUAAAUAUACUAUAAAAAACGAAUAUGUUUCAAUUAAGACAUGGGACGUAUAUCGCAACAAAUGACAAAGGCAUAACAUAUUUAAAAAACCACGCUGUUGAAACGAACACAAGUUAUUUUCAGAAAUAUCUAAAUAUAUGUUCAGUUGUUUCAAAUAUAAAUCUAAAAGAUUUUGAAAACAAAAAUGAAUCAAUACAUGAGUAUAUAAAAGGUCCACUGAGGGACCACAGUUGGAGAAGGCUUUAAAAGCUACAACCGUGACUUGUGAAGAAAUACCUAUAAAUGUUGGUGGCAAGGAAUUAAAAACUGAUCAAAUUGUUUAUCAGAUAAUGUCAUAUAACCAUUUACACAAAUUGUCUAAAUUUUACUAUGGGGAUAGUAAACUAAGACGAAAUGCUAUUAAAGUUGCGGUAGAAACACAAAAACAAUGGGACCGAUCAGACACCUUUUAACGAGCAUUUGAAAGUUUUGGAACGUACUGCAGACAGUAUGGCGAGUAAAUACAGGCAAUAUUUAAACGCAGAUACAAUGUUUAGUCAGCCGAAAACUGUAAUUCAGAUUGAAAUCGAUUCUUCACCAGAUUUUAUUGAUUUCAUAAGAAAAAUUUUAUAACAAAUUUAAACUUCACUUAUAUUACAAAAAUGCUGGUCAAUUAAAUGAACACCUAUUUUCUUAAAGAAUGUGGAAAAUAUCAACCAAUAAGUGAAAAUCUUAAUGGUACUAAGAACUCGAUGCGACAUAGUGGUAUUGAUGAUCUUUUAACUGCUAUUAGACCUUUUCAUUUUACAACAAUUGGAGGAAAUUUGGCUAGAAGUUGGGAUGUUUGAUAAUAAGUU